rnacentral:rRNA from 1 species
UACGUAGGGGGCGAGCGUUGUCCGGAAUCAUUGGGCGUAAAGAGCGUGUAGGCGGCUCGAUAAGUCUGCUGUGAAAGUCCAGGGCUCAACCCUGGAAGGCCGGUGGAAACUGUCGGGCUAGAAUCCGGAAGAGGCGAGUGGAAUUCCCGGUGUAGCGGUGAAAUGCGCAGAUAUCGGGAGGAACACCAAUUGCGAAGGCAGCUCGCUGGGACGGUACUGACGCUGAGACGCGAAAGCGUGGGGAGCAAACAGG